rnacentral:misc_RNA from 1 species
AAAUGCGAUAAGUAGUGUGAAUUGCAGAAUUCAGUGAAUCAUCGAAUCUUUGAACGCACAUUGCGCCCUUUGGUAUUCCUUAGGGCAUGCCUGUUCGAGCGUCAUCUAAACCUUCAAGCCCUGCUUGGUGUUGGGUGCCUGUCCCGCCUCCGCGCGCGGACUCACCUCAAAUCCAUUGGCGGCCCCCGCGUCGGCCACGAGCGCAGCAGAAACGCGAACUCGUGAGCCCGUCCGGGCGGCUCCCAGAAGCUACACCCACCCAGUUUGGCCUCGGAUCAGGUAGGGAUACCCGCUGAACUUAAGC